UCCUGACAGAUACUGACGCUGAGAUGCGAAAGCGUGGGGAGCAAACAGGAUUAGAUACCUGGUAGUCACGCUGUAAACGAUGUCGAUUUGGAGUUUGUUGCCUAGAGUGAUGGGCUCCGAAGCUAACGCGAUAAAUCGACCGCUGGGGAGUACGGCCGCAAGGUUAAAACUCAAAUGAAUUGACGGGGGCCCGCACAAGCGGUGGAGCAUGUGGUUUAAUUCGAUGCAACGCGAAGAACCUUACCUGGUCUUGACAUCCAUAGAAUUCUGCAGAGAUGUGGGAGUGCCUUCGGGAACUAUGAGACAGGUGCUGCAUGGCUGUCGUCAGCUCGUGUUGUGAAAUGUUGGGUUAAGUCCCGCAACGAGCGCAACCCUUAUUCUUUGUUGCCAGCGAUUUGGUCGGGAACUCAAAGGAGACUGCCGUUGAUAAAGCGGAGGAAGGUGGGGACGACGUCAAGUCAUCAUGGCCCUUACGACCAGGGCUACACACGUGCUACAAUGGCGUAUACAAAGGGAAGCGAAGGUGCGAGCUGGAGCGGAUCUCAUAAAGUACGUCUAAGUUCGGAUUGGAGUCUGCAACUCGACUCCAUGAAGUCGGAAUCGCUAGUAAUCGUAGAUCAGAAUGCUACGGUGAAUACGUUCCCGGGCCUUGUACACACCGCCCGUCACACCAUGGGAGUGGGUUGCACCAGAAGUAGAUAGCUUAACCGCGAGGGGGGCGUUUACCACGGUGUGAUUCAUGACUGGGGUGAAGUCGUAACAAGGUAACCA
rnacentral:rRNA from 1 species